ensembl:processed_transcript predicted gene, 35025
GCUAUACUGAUCGGCCUCCAAACUUGGCAUCGGUGAUGAGCUGCAAUGCAAGGUGCAGGGGACUCAUUCAUUCUGACACCGAGACAGGAGUCAGGCCUAGGACCCCAGAACAUUGCCCUGGGUGCGGUUCCCCCGGCUGAGUGGUUACUACUUCAAACAGUCCAAGAAUUCCUAGCCAAGACCUCUGGCCCGCCCCCAAAUGUAGUCGCUCCCAAUGCACUUCCUGGAAAGAGAAAAAUGAGGAGCCUGAAGGAGGUUCACCUGGUGAAGGUGCUUGGUGUCCAAGCUUGAAUGCCCGAGUUUGAUCCCUGGAUCCUGUGUAAGAGUGGAAGACCGACCCCACAAAGCUGUCCUCUGACAACCAUCCACGCUUUCAAAUGAAAAGCUGUUAGUUCCUCCCUCUGCUUCCAAGACCAGCUUUGUCCCUACCUCCUAGGAACAAGUAAGAGCUCCAG